UAAUAAGUGUUUUAUGGCACUUUUUAAAUCCAUAUCCACCUUGUGUGCAAUGUCAGUCGAUCUUCUUCAUGGAGAUCGACCAAACAUCAACCUUUAUCUUUUAACUCUUUGUCUGAAAAAUAUUAUGAGUAAACAAUUCAAAAUA
rnacentral:misc_RNA from 1 species